AUGCAGAGCACGAAUUUAGAGUAUGGGUCGCUGUACUUGGCUAUCUCCACUUUCAGGAUUCAUGGAAGAGCCGGUAUUUCGCAGCAUGCUGUGAAAGCUUAGUUGGAUGCAGAUCCUGCACUACUUUGUGGCUUCAGAAUUCUUUACUGUGUUUGAAGUGUUGAACAGAUGAUUUUUCCACCAACAUUCACAGGGUGAAUGCACAAAUCUAUUCAUUCCAAUCUGGCACACCUGGCCAGUCAGAUUGGAUGUGCAGAACCUCGUCAGGCUGUCCUCCAUAUCAAUUGCUUCCCUGAUCUUGUAGCUGUACCAGGGCCUCUUUUAGUGGGUAAUUUAUCCGGUUGUUGAUUUCUGGCCACAUCCUUUCCACAGUGUGAUUCUGUAGUAAUAAUAAUAAAAGGUUGGAACAGGGAAGCUUACACAUUUUGAAACUAGAGAAACAAACAAUUCAAGAGAGUAAUGUUGUGUGUGAUUGAAGAAAUACUCAGACCCAUUCAGUAAAAGCACCAACAUCAUGAUGUUGAAAUACACCAUCAUAAAACUGUACAGUAAAUAUUUUCUGAUAAAUGUAUUGGAAGUUCUAAAAUUUCAUGUUGGCCAUUUUUCAAGAGCAGUUACAUUUUCUAUUAGUUUGUCAUUACGCAUACUGCAGUGGAGUAUCAAGUAGCAGAACAUGUAAGUACAGGAACCUCAAACUUUUACUUAAAAGCAAUAAUUUGCCUAAUAUAUUACUUUUCAUGACUGGUAUAUGCAUUGUUUGAUGGCUUGCAGACUAAUAACCUUACCCUUGUUAACUGAGUUUGUAGGUAUGGCGCUCUCUGCUGGUUGUGUCUAUAUUUUGACAGCCUCUCUUGCAUGUACAGACAGAGGUAAAACUCUUUGCCAUAAAUCACACAAAGUAUUUCGUAUUGCUUUGUAAAGAAAGUAACCUAUCCUACAGAAAAGCAUUAAAACUGCUAGAUCUCUUUCUGUCUCUUUUAGAAGAAAACAAACAUAAUUCCAGGUAUUUAUUCAAUACAGUGGCUAAAUUAACGAAAAAUAAAGCAUCAACAAGUGUUGACAUUUCCCAACAUCACAGCAGUAAUGACUUUAUGAACUACUUUACUUCUAAAAUCGAUACUAUUAGAGAUAAAAUUGUAACCAUGCAGCCGUCAGCUACAGUAUCACAUCAGAC
ensembl:lncRNA